AAAGACGUGGAGGGCAGCUGUCUUCCUCCCUGGCCGUGACGACCCGUGCCAGACUCCAGAUGCAGCAGACCUGUUGCAUGUAGAAAAGUGGCGGGGUUCGGCGUUCCAGGCUUUCCUUCCCGGCUUUGCCCACCACCAGAUCUGAGCCCACCCCAGGAGUCCCGGGACACAGCCUGUUCCGAAGGAGAAAAUGAGGGGAGUGCCAGGAGUCGCCUGGGUGGAUAAUCAUCCCAGGGCAAGGGGCUCUUUCUACACGCCGCGAUGGCCGCAGAUAAUUACACAGUUCCGGGAAGGGAAGGGAGAGGCUCAGGGGAUGACGCCCGGGAGGGACUCCGGUCUGCCGAAAAAGCACUUCUUUGGCAGACACGUCCUAGCCUCGCCCUUACCCCGGGCAAAGGGCUCCUGCUCUUCGGAUCCCCACCUCGGAGGCCAGGAGCCGGCAGCUGGAGGUCCCCGAGUCCCUCCACGACCAAUAGGAAUAACUUGGUGCAAAGUGCCCGAGGGUGCCAGAGAGAAGAGGCGCGCCUGGAAAAGUCAAGGUUUAUGGUGA
rnacentral:lncRNA from 12 species